rnacentral:rRNA from 1 species
CAGGCCUAACACAUGCAAGUCGAACGAAGCUUCCCUCGGGGAUGUCCUUAGUGGCGAACGGGUGAGUAACGCGUGGGAACCUGCCAAGUGUGGGGAAUAACUACGGGAAACUGUAGCUAAUACCGCAUACGCCCACGGGGGAAAGGCUUCGGCCGCACCUGGAGGGGCCCGCGUCAGAUUAGCUGUUGGUGGGGUAACGGCCUACCAAGGCUACGAUCUGUAACUGGUCUGAAGGACGAUCAGUCACACUGGAACUGAGACACGGUCCAGACUCCUACGGGGGCAGCAGUGGGGAAUUUUGCACAAUGGGGGAAACCCUGAUGCAGCGACCCGCGUGGGUGAUGAAGGCCUUAGGGUUGUAAAGCCCUUUCAGCAGGGAGAUGAUGACGGUACCUGCAGA